GUCAGCUCGUGUCGUGAGAUGUUGGGUUAAGUCCCGCAACGAGCGCAACCCUCGCCUCUAGUUGCCAGCAUUCGGUUGGGCACUCUAGAGGGACUGCCGGCGACAAGUCGGAGGAAGGUGGGGAUGACGUCAAAUCAUCAUGCCCCUUAUGACCUGGGCUACACACGUGCUACAAUGGGCGGUACAAAGGGCUGCGAACCCGCGAGGGGGAGCGAAUCCCAAAAAGCCGCUCUCAGUUCGGAUUGCAGGCUGCAACUCGCCUGCAUGAAGCCGGAAUCGCUAGUAAUCGCGGAUCAGCAUGCCGCGGUGAAUACGUUCCCGGGCCUU
rnacentral:rRNA from 1 species